UACGAAGGGGGCUAGCGUUGCUCGGAAUCACUGGGCGUAAAGGGUGCGUAGGCGGCGCGGUAAGUCGGGUGUGAAAUCUCGGAGCUUAACUCCGAAACUGCAUUCGAUACUGCCGUGCUUGAGGACUGGAGAGGAGACUGGAAUUUACGGUGUAGCGGUGAAAUGCGUAGAUAUCGUAAGGAAGACCAGUGGCGAAGGCGGGUCUCUGGCCCGGUACUGACGCUGAGGUGCGAAAGCGUGGGGAGCAAACAGG
rnacentral:rRNA from 1 species